CAGCCUUCACAGGUGAUGACUCCAUAGUGGAUUCCUGAGGAUUUGUCCCCACAGAUCUUACAGGGGAUGACCUCAAUCUGGGCUGACACUAUGCUCUGACUGAUGAAGCUACUCCCCAGCAUAAGACAUGUAGUUACAUUCCAGUGUACAACAUUGUCCAGUACCAUCCUUAGCCCUCCAGCCUUACUCUCAGCACAUGGCAGUGCACCACGUUCGGCAUGGCGCUUCCAAAUGCAGCCCUCCCCUCCCGCCGCUGACUGCUGUAUAAUGUUUGGUGACAUAACUAGGUCAGUGGAACAGCCAGAACCUCUCUCCCUCUCUGCUCUCACACUGUUGGCCAUGCGGACACUGUGUCACCACCACAUAA